rnacentral:pre_miRNA from 1 species
ACUCCCAGCUCUCCUGGCUCUAGCAGCACAGAAAUAUUGGCACUGGGAUGUGAGUCUGCCAAUAUUGGCUGUGCUGCUCCGGGCAGGGUGGUGA